UAUGUGAUCGUCUCUCGCAUAUCAAUAAGCGGAGGAAAAGAAACUAACAAGGAUUCCCCUAGUAACGGCGAGUGAAGCGGGAAGAGCUCAAAUUUGAAAUCUUAAAGGGUUUCCCUUUACGAAUUGUAGUUUAAAGAAGUGUUUUCUGUUGAGGUUUUGGUAAAAGUUCUUUGGAAUAGGACAUCAUAGAGGGUGAGAAUCCCGUAUUUGACCUUUACUUUCAACUUUGUGAUACACUAUCAAAGAGUCGGAUUGUUUGGGAAUGCAGUCCAAAAUGGGUGGUAAAUUUCAUCUAAAGCUAAAUAUUGGCGAGAGACCGAUAGCGAACAAGUACCGUGAGGGAAAGAUGAAAAGAACUCUGAAAAGAGAGUUAAACAGUACGUGAAAUUGUCAAAAGGGAAGCGUUUGACACCAGUGUUGUUUUUCUGAAAAUCAGUUAAAGAACUGUUUAUGCUAAGUUGUUUAGACUUUAUCAGCUAUCUGUUUAGUUUUGAGCCUUUCUUUAAUGCACUUUUCAGUUAACAAGUCAACAUCAAUUUCUUUUGCUGUAAAAAAGCUUGAGGAAGGUGGCUUGAGAUUCGUCUUAAGUGUUUAUAGCCUCUUGCCUAUGCAGUCGGAGAGAUUGAGGUCUGCAGCGUAGAUCCUUCGGGGCUAAAUGCAUUUGUGCUAAGUUAUAGCAUUUUAUAGACAACUUGUUGACUAUGAUUUGUCUUGUAGCUUACUCGCUUAUGUUAUUUUACCUACGCUUAGGAUGUUGAGUCGUAGAGCACGCAG
rnacentral:rRNA from 1 species